CAAAUGCGGACGGGCCCGCAACGCGGGCCCGACUCGGAUUUUUCGGCUUUUUUUCCUUUCUUUUUUUAAAAUGAAACGGCGUCGUGGCCGGGCGUUCGGGGACACCCGGCCCGGCCCGACGACCCGGCCCGACAACCCGCUCCCUUCGGCGAAACCCUACCCGACCCGGCUCCGACUCGCGACCCGAAUUUCCGCCGCCCCCGUAAUCUGCGGGAUCCCUACCCGGUUCCCGAUCCGGGUCCGACCCGUCUACCCGGGGUCGCGACCCGAAAAAUCGGGAACCCUAGGGUUUCCCAAAUGCGGCGACGGCGACGGCGAUAAUGGCAACGACGACGGCGACGGCGACGGAAAGGGGCUACGAUGAAUGGCAGGGACGACAGCUACGAGCUCUUUACCUUUUCUUGAACGGGGGCUACGACGACGACGGCAGGGGGGCGAUUUGCGACGGUGGGGGCUGCGGCGGGCAACGACGGUGAGGCCUGGGUUUGGCCAGAUCUGGCCGGGGCUCACUCUCUCUCUCUCUCUCGGGUUCGCUCGUCAAGCUCCCCGAAGUCUCUCGGGGACCCCUCCGAGCUCACCACACCACGGCCGGCCUGCACUCGAGCUCCCCGAAGUCUCUCAGGGACCCCGAGCUUCGGCCGCCUCUCUCUUUCUUCCUCCUUUUCCUCUCCCUGUCCGUGCCCUUCGUCGACGGUGACCCCCCUCUAUUUAUAGGCGCGGGAGCGGCCGGUCGGCGAGGCUUCGAC
rnacentral:lncRNA from 1 species